UGUAGGUUCAUGUGACGCGGAGAGCACUCGAGCAGAUCCCGAGUUUCUUUGUACAUCGAUGUCCAGUCUCCCUCGGAACUGUGGUGCAACUGUAUCAAGUUCUGAGACUUUAAACUCAAAUAUGGGAUCUGAAGCCCCAAACACUACUGUGGCACUCCCCUGUCCCGAUGAUGUUCCUUUCUCAGAGACCUACUUCGCCGAAAUGUCUACCGGGGAAGUGGCGGCACUUGCAGUUGGUGCAGUGGUUACUGUAGCUAAUGUCAUCCUGUUUCUGGAAAGCACCUGGUUUAUAGUCCAACACUUCUUCGAAAAGAAAACAAAGGUUCUGUCCAUAUGGAUGAUUUGCCUACCAACAGUGUUUGCAGUGACAGCCCUGAUAGCUGUGUGUAUACCGCGAUCCGCCUUGCUGUCGGAUCUGGUGGCGGCCAUCUACCUGUCCCGCUGUAUCCAGAUGUUCCUCUUUCUGCUGAUCCACUACCAUGGAGGGGAGCAAGCUCUCAUCGAUCACAUGUCAGGGGAGACAAUAAACCUGCGCAGCCCUCCCGUGGCUUGCUGCUGCGUCUGCUGUCCCAAGAUAGCUGUCAAUGAGAAGAACCUCUUCAGAAUCAAGAUGUCUGUUUUACAAUUUGCCAUAGCUAGACCUAUCUUGGUGUUUCUGGCUGCUGUGUUGUGGACUGAUGGCAAAUAUGUGAAGGGAAAGAUGAGGCCAAACCAGGCCUCCUUGUACAUAAGUGUGUUGACUGGUGUGUCGACACUUGUAGCCAUGUACGGCUUGAUCCUUGUAUUCAGAGCGUCCAGGAAACACCUAAAGGUGUUCAACAUUGUCCCAAAGUUCAUCUGCAUGCAGCUGGUGCUUGUCGUCAGUGGCCUGCAGGGUGUUGUCUUCAAUACUUUGGCUAACAACAAUCUUCCUCCUUGUACACAAGUGCUGUCUUCUGCUGCACGAGGCAAUGGUAAGUGUCCCAUCUGGUAAACAACAACCUUCCUUCCUGUACACCAAUACUAUCUUCUGCUGCACGAGGCGAUGUUUGGAACCAUCUGAUUAUCAUUGUGGAAAUGUUCUUGCUAGCGCUGCUUGCUCGGCGCUUUUAUCGCAGGAUAGAUGGAUCACUGAUCAUCGCAGAUGUUGACGUUAUGUGCCCAGAGGACAAAGACAAAGCACAG
rnacentral:misc_RNA from 1 species